rnacentral:rRNA from 1 species
CUACGGAGGCGGCAAGCGUUGUUCGGAAUUACUGGGCGUAAAGAGUACGUAGGCGGAUCGUUAAGUUAGAGGUGAAAUCCCAGGGCUCAACCCUGGAACUGCCUUUAAUACUGGCGAUCUAGAGAUCGAGAGAGGUGAGUGGAAUUUCCAGUGUAGAGGUGAAAUUCGUAGAUAUUGGAAAGAACACCAGUGGCGAAGGCGGCUCACUGGCUCGAUACUGACGCUGAGGUGCGAAAGCGUGGGGAGCAAACAGGAUUAGAAACCCCAGUAGUCC